GGGAGUCUGGCCGAGUGGUUAAGGCGCUACGUUUAGGAGUCUAUAGACUAGGUUUAUACUCUGUUUCCGUAGUGGGAAACCGCGCAGGUUCGAAUCCUGCGGCUCUCA